AGCCCAGGGCGGCUGCGCAGAGGGCUGGACUCAGCGGCGGAGCUGGCUGCUGGCCUCAGUUCUGUCUCUGUCCAGGUCCUUGUGACCCGCCCGCUCCCCU
ensembl:miRNA